rnacentral:rRNA from 1 species
GAAGGGAGGUGCAAUAGGGCGUGAAAUCAGUUGGCGAUGGAGCGACAGGGCAUACAAGGUCCCGGACACAAUGAAUCAGGUGCAAACCUGUAGUAAGCCGUUCGGGAAGCCGGUGUUCUGUCGUACGUUUUGAAAAACGAACCAGGGAGUGUGCCUGUUUGACGAGUCUAACCUGAUCAUCAGGGAAGGCGUAGGGAAACCGACAUGGCCGCAGUCUUACGACGAGGGCCGCCGUGUUCAAGCGCGGGGAGUCAAACGGGCACGACCCGAAACNGGGAAGGCGUAGGGAAACCGACAUGGCCGCAGUCUUACGACGAGGGCCGCCGUGUUCAAGCGCGGGGAGUCAAACGGGCACGACCCGAAACCGGAUGAUCUAGGCGUGGGCAGGGUGAAGCGUGCCGAAAGGCACGUGGAGGCCCGAUAGCGUUGGUGUCCUACAAUACCCUCGCGUGACCUACGUCUAGGGGUGAAAGGCCCAUCGAAUCCGGAAACAGCUGGUUCCAACCGAAAGAUGUCGAAGCAUCACCUCUGCCGAGGUAGUUUGUGGGGUAGAGCGACGGAUUGGGGGACCGCACUCCGAGAGGAGUGNAACGCCGUUCGACGCAGGGAGUCCGGUGCACGGGGUAAGCCUGUGUACCGUGAGGGAGACAACCCAGAGCUGGGUUAAGGUCCCCAAGUGUAGACUAAGUGCGAUCGAAGGUGGUCGCAAGCCCUAGACAGCCGGGAGGUGAGCUUAGAAGCAGCUACCCUCUAAGAAAAGCGUAACAGCUUACCGGCCGAGGUUUGCGGCGCCCAAAAUGAUCGGGGCUCAAGUCUACCACCGAGACCUAGCGGCACUCUUGAUCGAGUGAUCCCGUAGGUUGGCGUUCUGUUCGGGUGGAAGCACGGCUGAGAAGUCGUGUGGACCGUUCAGUAACGAAAAUCCUGGUCAUAGUAGCAGCGUUAGUCGGGUUAGAACCCCGACGGCCGAACGAGUAAGGGUUCCUCAGCAAUGCUGAUCAGCUGAGGGUUAGCCGGUCCUAAGUCUGCCCGUAAGUCGAAGCAGACAACAGGGAAAUAGGUUAAUAUUCCUAUNCUCAAAGCCGACGCUUUGGGGCCGCCUCUCCCGAGUUUUCGCUCGGGCGAACAGUCGAAGUUCGUGGAAGCCGUAAUGGCAGGAAGCGAACGAAUGGCUGGAUAGCGUAAGAGAGGUCAACCUAGAGCCCGUGAAAAGGUGAGCACACUGUCCGUACCGAGAUCCGACACAGGUACUCGUGGCGGCGAAAGCCAAGGUCUGUCGGGAGCAACCGACGUUAGGGAAUUCGGCAAGUUNUAUGCCAGUGUGCACUCAAAGCCGACGCUUUGGGGCCGCCUCUCCCGAGUUUUCGCUCGGGCGAACAGUCGAAGUUCGUGGAAGCCGUAAUGGCAGGAAGCGACCGAAUGGCUGGAUAGCGCAAGAGAGGUCAACCUAGAGCCCGUGAAAAGGCAAGCACACUGUCCGUACCGAGAUCCGACACAGGUACUCGUGGCGGCGAAAGCCAAGGUCUGUCGGGAGCAACCGACGUUAGGGAAUUCGGCAAGUUNAGCACACUGUCCGUACCGAGAUCCGACACAGGUACUCGUGGCGGCGAAAGCCAAGGUCUGUCGGGAGCAACCGACGUUAGGGAAUUCGGCAAGUUAGUCCCGUACGUUCGCAAUAAGGGAUGCCUGCCUCGCAACGAGGCAGGUCGCAGUGACUCGGGCGCUCCAACUGUCUAGUAACAACAUAGGUGACCGCAAAUCCGCAAGGACUCGUACGGUCACUGAAUCCUGCCCAGUGCAGGUAUCUGAACACCCCGUACAAGGGGACGAAGGACCUGUUAACGGCGGGGGUAACUAUGACCCUCUUAAGGUAGCGUAGUACCUUGCCGCUUCAGUAGCGGCUUGCAUGAAUGGAUCAAUGAGAGCGCCACUGUCCCAACGUUGGGCCCGGUGAACNAACUGUACGUUCCAGUGCGGAGUCUGGAGACCCCCAAGGGGAAGCGAAGACCCUAUAGAGCUUUACUGCAGGCUGUCACUGAGACGUGGUCGCCAUUGUGCAGCAUAGGUAGGAGGCGGUACACAGGUACCCGCGCUAGCGGGCCACCGAGCCANUCCUGGCGGAGGACACUGGUAGCCGGGCAGUUUGACUGGGGCGGUACGCGCUUGAAAAGAUAUCGAGCGCGCCCCAAGAUUUCCUCACCCGCGUCGGAGACGCGGGAAAGAGCGCAAGAGCAUAAGGAAGUCUGACAGUGUCCGGCACAACGACGGACGCUGACGCGAAAGCGUGGUCUAGCGAACCAAUGCGGCUGCUUGAUGCGGCCCAUUGCUGACAGAAAAGCUACCUUAGGGAUAACAGAGUCGUCACCCGCAAGAGCACAUAUCGACCGGGUGGCUUGCUACCUCGAUGUCGGUUCCCUCCAUCCUGCCUGUGCAGAAGCAGGCAAGGGUGAGGUUGUUCGCCUAUUAAAGGAGGUCGUGAGCUGGGUUUAGACCGUCGUGAGACAGGUCGGCUGCUAUCUAUUGGGGGUGUUACGGUAUCUGACAAGAACGUUCGUAUAGUACGAGAGGAACUACGAAUGGGUGCCACUCGUGUACCGGCUGUCCGAGAGGGCACGUGCCGGGCAGCGACGCACCACGGGGUAAGAGCUGAACGCAUCUAAGCUCGAAACCCACUUGGAAAAGAGAUACCACNCCGAGAGGGCACGUGCCGGGCAGCGACGCACCACGGGGUAAGAGCUGAACGCAUCUAAGCUCGAAACCCACUUGGAAAAGAGAUACCACCGAGGCCACUCGUAGAAGACGAGUUCGAUAGACUCGGGAUGUACGCACCAAGGCAACGAGGUGUUGAGUCCGCGAGCACUAAC